AGCAGCCGCGGUAAUUCCAGCUCCAAUAGCGUAUAUUAAGGUUGUUGCAGUUAAAAAGCUCGUAGUUGAAUUUCGAGAUCAAAUUGUUGGUCGUGCCUCGGUACGUACUGGCAUUAUUGAUUUCUCCCUUCUGAAGAACCACGAUGUCAUUAAUUUGGUGUCGUGGGGAAUCAGGACUGUUACUUUGAAAAAAUUAGAGUGUUUAAAGCAGGCUCACGCUUGAAUACAUUAGCAUGGAAUAAUGAAAUAGGACGUUUGAUUCUAUUUUGUUGGUUUCUAGGAUCGACGUAAUGAUUAAUAGGGAUAGUUGGGGGCAUUAGUAUUCAAUUGUCAGAGGUGAAAUUCUUGGAUUUAUUGAAGACUAACUACUGCGAAAGCAUUUGCCAAGGAUGUUUUCAUUAAUCAAGAACGAAAGUUAGGGGAUCGAAGACGAUCAGAUACCGUCGUAAU
rnacentral:rRNA from 1 species